rnacentral:lncRNA from 1 species
GAAUCCAUCAAAAUUUGUUUGAUUUUGUAUUAAGUAAUGGAGAAUCUUUAACUUAGAAUACGUCAUGUCCCUUUGGCCUUCAGUGAAGCCAAAAGUCGGCCCCUUGAUUUUUUCCCAUGAUGCAUUUUUAAUUAAGUCUUUGUUAAGAAAGACAAGUCCAGUUCAUAGCUUACAUUACACUAGCAUGUAAACAAAUCACUCUGCCUACCCUUUUGACCAUGUUAGUGCCACCUUUCCCUUUCACUUUAUACUUUGUUGCAUUAAUUUAUAUUUUAACUUCAGAAAGAACAAUAGAGAACACGUAAUACAUGCAAACAUGUAAUGCAACUAAUGGUUAUGCUAUCACUAACAGAAGGCUAAAGUAAUUCUGCAUAGAGCCCGUGAAAAACCUUUAGAAGCAACAUGUAAAUGUCAUAGUCGAAGGGAUAGGUUUGCACACAGUGACUAGAUAUAUGAGUCUGAUCUCAACUGGCAUGCAUGAUUAGUACGGAUGUUGCUCUAUUGCUAUUACAAUUAAUAAUUAUUAUAAUCUGUAAUCUAUCAUUUUCAAACUCUAGAAGACUGAUUUGAGAGUUUCUGAAUCUGGCCUGCAAGUUGUUAUAAAUGUUUUAAUUGUUGAUUUUAAAGAAAUAUUUACAUCACUAUUGUGGAAUAAUGCUACUAUUUGAUAAAGGUGAGCAUACAAAGGGAAUAAAUCUUUCAGGAUUAGUUUAGAAAACUUACAGGCAGUCAUAUGACCAUCUUAGAAGACUUGCUGCUUAAGUGUCAAGAAAAGAUGAUGACGCCUGUUUUCAUGGACCAGCAGAAUCUAUACCAUUGGAUGUAGCUCCAGUAUGAUCCUCCCUAAACUCAAACACAUUUUCAACUUAUCUACAAAGAGGAAUUAAUGCAACUUAAAUAGAAACAGUAGAUUAAUUAUGGAGUAUGAUGCCACAGAAAAUUGGUAAAAACAUCCAUUAUGCAGAUUACAAUUAACUUUUUCUCCAUCUAACCUAGUGGAUGUUGGCGGAAAUUAUAAGCAGUCCAUUUGUUAAUAUAUUCUUACCAAGAGUAAUAAAAACAACAAAUCAUAGAAAAAAAUUUAAUCAACAAUUGCAAUCCACCAACAAGGGGCCAAACCUUAUUCCAAGCUAGCAUUGCUCAAAACACAGCACAGAAAAAAUGCUGUUUUCCAAAGCAACCAUACGAGGAACAUUAGAUACAGUCCCCCAGUUGGAAAUUUAAAAUAAUAAACUGGAAGAAUGGGAAACUAAAUAACAUGUUUUUUCGAAUCUCCAUCUCAAAUAAAACCUGUUUUUCCAACCAAAUUAUCAAACUCAACAUUAUGAAAUCGAUAUCACCAGGAUCUUGCCAGUGAUUCUGCUGGGUUCAAUAUUUAUGUUCUUAAAAGAUCACUUGCAAAUAAAACUACUAUAAUCAUCAGGACUGUUAUUGCAGUAAGCCCAUCAUCUGUAAACAAGGAGAUGCAAUAAGGUUUUAAGGAACAUCAUGCAGAAUACAAAAGGCAAAUCAUUCUUGGCACAAAUUAGUACCACAUCAUGGCCAGAGUGAUAACAUCACAAGCCAAUUAUCAAGGGUACUAAUUACAAUGUCUUAAAUUCUCAACCAUUCCUAACAGGUGCCAAUUAAAGUCACUUAACUUUCUCAAACAGGUGAAUCUCACUGGAAUAAAAAUGAGAGGUAUCAAGAGAUCGGAGGGUUACUUUCUAUUUGUAAUCCAACAAUUGGACAACAAAAAAAGAAAAGACUCAAGAAUUGUCACUAACUAUAUGUCUCCAAACAGGCUCCUCUUGAGUUUUCUUUUCAUUUUUCAUUUUUCAUUUUUUCAUUUUUUUGUUACAAAAGAGAGGUUUGAACUCAAGAACUUUAGAGGGGAAGGAGAAGACUAAUACUAGUUGAGCUACAACUCAAUAGCUUGCGAUCUUUGAAUUUAAUAGGUAACUCUCCAAAACAAGUACUGCAACGCGUUGCUGAGCAGAAGUAAAAUCUUAAUCUAUUAUUGAUCUGAUGGUCUUCCCAAAAAUGGUACAAGAACUGAAUACUCCACAUAGCUUAUCAUAGAUUCAAACCCGCUCUAUCAUCUUACAAUUCUAAAAUAUCAUGCAUGCAAGAAAGAUUGAAUUCUUUCCAAAAUGAUCCAAGAACCCCAAGCUCCAAAAUUCCCAAUCCGAGAUUUGGAUCCUCACCAAUUAUCAAGUAGAUUUCUUCUUAAAAUUCCUCUACUUCUUCUAUCCAUCCAAAGUUAUGCAAUCGAAAACCUAUCAAUCAUUAAAGUGAACCAUAAUUAUAUAUACCUGCUUGAUAUAGGUAUUCAAUGAUAUGGCAACAAAUUAACUGAAAUCCAGUAAUUUAGGUAUGAAUGAAUGAUCGGUGGGAAUCACGAGAAAUAUUGAGGCAAAAAUGCGUGGGAAACCUUUCAACUACAGAUCAAGUUAAGAGAUCUCUUACAUUUCAAGAAUUGAGAUUUAGACCCCUCGAAUUGUCUAUUAAUUUACUAAAACCCCGUCCAUUUGAUUCAAUCAAUUCAGCAUCUAAGAGAUAACAAUAAAUGUAUCACCUACAAUCACAUGAUCUUCGAGAUAACAUGUUAGCUCGUGCAUGAACAACAGAACAGUUUUGAGACUACUUCAUAUCAACUCAUAAAUUCGGGAUUUCAGCACUCCUUAAUCUAUUUUUAUUUUUAUUUUAAUCAAAUUCACAAGAUACAAAUCCAACUCUACAUAUUGAAAUUCAAAUCCCGUAUCCAUGCCAAAUUACUGGAUGAGAUUAACAAUUAGAUUCCAAAUUACACUAACAAGUCAUGAACAACUUAUAAUACUCUUAAAUUACCGAUGAUGACAGCACUAAUAUAUAAAAACGAGAGACAAAUCGCUUACAAUAACAAAGUGAAGCAAAGUAACGGAUUCGCUGAUCAAUCAGACCAGCGUCAAUGGAAGCCAGGAAGGUGAAAAAUCCGGUUGGUAGUUAACUCUAAAAUCGCUCUGGGGCUGCCGCGGCAAUCGCGCGCACAACCACUGGUUUUGAUUUUGAAGCCGGGAACAUGAAAAUAAUUUGGUGCGGG